rnacentral:rRNA from 1 species
CGGAUCAUUAUAACAGCUAUAAUUUACUUGAUCUUGACAACCUACUUGGAUAACUGUGGUAAUUCUAGAGCUAAUACAUGCACCAAAGCUCCGACCUCACGGGAGGAGCGCAUUUAUUAGAACAAAACCAAGCGGCUUCGGCCGUCCACUGUUGACUCAGAAUAACUAAGCUGAUCGCAUGGUCUUGCACCGGCGACGUGUCUUUCAAGUAUCUGCCUUAUCAACUUUCGAUGGUAGUGUAUCUGACUACCAUGGUGGUGACGGGUAACGGAGGAUAAGGGUUCGACUCCGGAGAAGGGGCCUGAGAAAUGGCCACUACGUCUAAGGAUGGCAGCAGGCGCGCAAAUUACCCACUCUCAGAACGAGGAGGUAGUGACGAGAAAUAACGAGACCGUUCUCAUACGAGGCCGGUCAUCGGAAUGGGUACAAUUUAAACCCUUUAACGAGUAUCUAUGAGAGGGCAAGUCUGGUGCCAGCAGCCGCGGUAAUUCCAGCUCUCAAAAUGCAUAGAAUUAUUGCUGCGGUUAAAAAGCUCGUAGUUGGAUCUGUGCUGGCGUCCCGGUCCACUUUCGGGUGCGCACUGGUGAUGUUGGCUUUUCUGCUGGUCGUACGGGGCAGUAGGCUUUACCGCUUGCUGUCUCGGGCUGGCGCGUUUACCUUGAACAAAUCAGAGUGCUUCAAACAGGCGUUUCGCUUGAAUGUUCGUGCAUGGAAUAAUAGAAGAGGAUUUCGGUUCUAUUUUAUUGGUUUUAUAGACUGAGAUAAUGGUUAACAGAGACAAACGGGGGCAUUUGUAUUGCUACGUGAGAGUGA